GCCUAGCCCCGAUUGUAGCGGAAAUCCUUUUUUUAGACCUGACAGGUUUUAGAAACCUGUCAGGUCUAAAAAAAAGAUUGUAGCGGAAAGCGGGACGACUC
rnacentral:sRNA from 1 species